AAUAUUUAUAAUUUUCAGAAAGAAAUCCUAUCAUUAGGUUUGCUAUGGAAUAUAUUUAUGUUUCCAAUGGUAAUGAUGUAGCAUGCUGGAUGGCCUGAAGCUUUUCAGGCAACCACAGCUGCCAUUACCAAGGGGAUUCAGUGUCUUGGGUUCUUGGUGCUAGACAAUGUGCAAUGCAGAAGGCAAAGAUUCUCUGCUUGUCUUAUUUGCUGGACUUCACUAUCAUUUGAUCCUUAUUCUUGUUCCCUUAUACUUGUUUUAUCCUUAUAGGAAUGUCUUCCGUUUUUCUUUGCUUUGUUUGGAUGAAUUAAACAUUAAAAAAAUAUUAUUUACCUAAUAUUU